rnacentral:rRNA from 1 species
UACAUGUGGGGCAAGCGUUGUUCGGAAUUACUGGGCAUAAAGGGUGCGUAGGUGGUCUGUUAAGUCAGUGGUGAAAUCCCGCGGCCCAACCGUGGAACUGCCAUCGAUACUGGCGGACUUGAGUGCGUGAGGGGUUACCGGAACGAGCAGUGUAGCGGUGAAAUGCGUAGAUAUCUGGAGGAAUACCGGUGGCGAAGGCGGCAUCCUGGACCGACAUUGACGCUGAACGGCGAAAGCUAGGGGAGCAAACGGG